rnacentral:rRNA from 1 species
UACCAGCACCCCGAGUGGUCGGGACGAUUAUUGGGCCUAAAGCAUCCGUAGCCGGUUCUACAAGUCUUCCGUUAAAUCCACCUGCUCAACAGAUGGGCUGCGGAGGAUACUAUAGAGCUAGGAGGCGGGAGAGGCAAGCGGUACUUAGUGGGUAGGGGUAAAAUCCGUUGAUCCAUUGAAGACCACCAGUGGCGAAGGCGGCUUGCCAGAACGCACUCGACGGUGAGGGAUGAAAGCUGGGGGGAGCAAACCGG